UACGUAUGGGGCAAGCGUUGUUCGGAGUUAUUGGGCGUAAAGGGCGUGUAGGCGGCUCAUCAAGUCUGGUGUGAAAACGCAAGGCCUAACCUUGCGGAUGCGCUGGAAACUGGUGGGCUUGAGUUCUUGAGGGGAAGCUGGAAUUCCAGGUGUAGGGGUGAAAUCUGUAGAUAUCUGGAAGAACACCGGUGGCGAAGGCGAGCUUCUAUCAGAGGACUGACGCUGAGGCGCGAAAGCGUGGGGAGCAAACAGGAUUAGAUACCCUGGUAGUCCACGCUGUGAACGAUGUGCACUAGGCGUGGGGCCCGUACGGGUUCUGUGCCGUAGUUAACGUGUUAAGUGCACCGCCUGGGGAGUAUGCUCGCAAGGGUGAAACUCAAAG
rnacentral:rRNA from 1 species